rnacentral:rRNA from 1 species
ACGGAGGGUGCGAGCGUUGUCCGGAAUCACUGGGCGUAAAGGGCGCGUAGGCGGCUUCUUAAGCGGGUGGUGAAAGCUCGGGGCUCAACCCCGAGUCGGCCAUGCGAACUGGGAAGCUCGAGCACUGUAGAGGCAGGCGGAAUUCCGGGUGUAGCGGUGGAAUGCGUAGAGAUCCGGAAGAACACCGGUGGCGAAGGCGGCCUGCUGGGCAGUAGCUGACGCUGAGGCGCGACAGCGUGGGGAGCAAACAGGA